rnacentral:rRNA from 1 species
CCCUUAGAUGUUCUGGGCCGCACGCGCGCUACACUGACGAAUGCAACGAGCUUAUAACCUUGGCCGAAAGGUCUGGGUAAUCUCCAAAUUUCGUCGUGAUGGGGAUAGAUUAUUGCAAUUAUUAAUCUUCAACGAGGAAUGCCUAGUAAGCGCAAGUCAUCAGCUUGCGCUGAUUACGUCCCUGCCCUUUGUACACACCGCCCGUCGCUCCUACCGAUUGAAUGGUCCGGUGAAGCGUUCGGACCGUGGCCUUUGGACGGUUCGCCGUCUGUUGGCUGCGGGAAGUUCGUUAAACCUUAUCAUUUAGAGGAAGGAGAANUCGUANCA